rnacentral:rRNA from 1 species
CUACAAAUGAAUUGACGGGGACCCGCACAAGCAGCGGAGCGUGUGGUUUAAUUCGUUGCUACACGAAGAACCUUACCUGGGUUUGACAUAUAGGUUGUAGGGAACUGAAAGGGACCGACCCUUCGGGGAGCCUAUACAGGUGUUGCAUGGCUGUCGUCAGCUCGUGUCGUGAGAUGUUCGGUUAAGUCCGCUAACGAGCGCAACCCUCGUCGUAUGUUAUAUGUGUCAUACGAGACUGCCGGUAAAAGCCGGAGGAAGGUGAGGAUGAUGUCAAGUCAGCAUGACCUUUAUAUCCAGGGCUACACACACGCUACAAUGGUCUGUACAAUGGGUAGCCAAGCCGCGAGGCGGAGCCAAUCCUGAAAGCAGGCCUCAGUUCAGAUUGCAGUCUGCAACUCGACUGCAUGAAGCCGGAGUUGCUAGUAACCGCAGGUCAGCAAUACUGCGGUGAAUACGUUCCCGGGUCUU